CCUACGGGUGGCAGCAGUGAGGAAUAUUGGUCAAUGGACGAGAGUCUGAACCAGCCAAGUAGCGUGAAGGAUGACUGCCCUAUGGGUUGUAAACUUCUUUUAUGUGGGAAUAAAAUGUUCCACGUGUGGGAUUUUGUAUGUACCAUAUGAAUAAGGAUCGGCUAACUUCGUGCCAGCAGCCGCGGUAAUGCGGAGGAUCCGAGCGUUAUCCGGAUUUAUUGGGUUUAAAGGGAACGUAGGUGGAUUGUUAAGUCAGUUGUGAAAGUUUGCGGCUCAACCGUAAAAUUGCAGUUGAAACUGGCAGUCUUGAGUACAGUAGAGGUGGGCGGAAUUCGUGGUGUAGCGGUGAAAUGCUUAGAUAUCACGAAGAAUUCCGAUUGCGAAGGCAGUUCACUGGACUGCAACUGACACUGAGGCUCGAAAGUGUGGGUAUCAAACAGGAUUAGAUACCCCGGUAGUC
rnacentral:rRNA from 1 species